rnacentral:tRNA from 1 species
GCUCAUAUGGUGUAUGAAGUACAACACAUAAGACUGCAAUUCUUAAGAAGUAAAUUAUCUAUGUUUACUAGGGCCU